UUGCUAAUAAUUCUCUAGUGGCGCACGGGUGAGUAACACGUGAGUAACCUGCCCCCGAGAGCGGGAUAGCCCUGGGAAACUGGGAUUAAUACCGCAUAGUAUCGAAAGAUUAAAGCAGCAAUGCGCUUGGGGAUGGGCUCGCGGCCUAUUAGUUAGUUGGUGAGGUAACGGCUCACCAAGGCGAUGACGGGUAGCCGGUCUGAGAGGAUGUCCGGCCACACUGGAACUGAGACACGGUCCAGACACCUACGGGUGGCAGCAGUCGAGAAUCAUUCACAAUGGGGGAAACCCUGAUGGUGCGACGCCGCGUGGGGGAAUGAAGGUCUUCGGAUUGUAAACCCCUGUCAUGUGGGAGCAAAUUAAAAAGAUAGUACCACAAGAGGAAGAGACGGCUAACUCUGUGCCAGCAGCCGCGGUAAUACAGAGGUCUCAAGCGUUGUUCGGAAUCACUGGGCGUAAAGCGUGCGUAGGCUGUUUCGUAAGUCGUGUGUGAAAGGCGCGGGCUCAACCCGCGGACGGCACAUGAUACUGCGAGACUAGAGUAAUGGAGGGGGAACCGGAAUUCUCGGUGUAGCAGUGAAAUGCGUAGAUAUCGAGAGGAACACUCGUGGCGAAGGCGGGUUCCUGGACAUUAACUGACGCUGAGGCACGAAGGCCAGGGGAGCGAAAGGGAUUAGAUACCCCUGUAGUCCUGGCAGUAAACGGUGCACGCUUGGUGUGCGGGGAAUCGACCCCCUGCGUGCCGGAGCUAACGCGUUAAGCGUGCCGCCUGGGGAGUACGGUCGCAAGAUUAAAACUCAAAGAAAUUGACGGGGACCCGCACAAGCGGUGGAGUAUGUGGCUUAAUUCGAUGCAACGCGAAGAACCUUACCUGGGCUUGACAUGUAAUGAACAACAUGUGAAAGCAUGCGACUCUUCGGAGGCGUUACACAGGUGCUGCAUGGCCGUCGUCAGCUCGUGUCGUGAGAUGUUUGGUUAAGUCCAGCAACGAGCGCAACCCCUGUUGCCAGUUACCAGCACGUGAAGGUGGGGACUCUGGCGAGACUGCCCAGAUCAACUGGGAGGAAGGUGGGGACGACGUCAGGUCAGUAUGGCCCUUAUGCCCAGGGCUGCACACGUACUACAAUGCCCAGUACAGAGGGGGCCGAAGCCGCGAGGCGGAGGAAAUCCUAAAAACUGGGCCCAGUUCGGACUGUAGGCUGCAACCCGCCUACACGAAGCCGGAAUCGCUAGUAAUGGCGCAUCAGCUACGGCGCCGUGAAUACGUUCCCGGGUCUUGUACACACCGCCCGUCACAUCAUGGAAGCCGGUCGCACCCGAAGUAUCUGAAGCCAACCGCAAGGAGGCAGGGUCCUAAGGUGAGACUGGUAACUGGGAUGAAGUCGUAACAAGGUAGCCGUAGGGGAACCUGCGGCUG
rnacentral:rRNA from 1 species